GAUGAAGAACGCAGCGAAAUGCGAUAAGUAAUGCGAAUUGCAGAUCUCAGUGAGUCAUCGAAUCUUUGAACGCACAUUGCGCCUACUAGUAUUCUAGUAGGCAUGCCUGUUCGAGCGUCAUUACAACCCUUAAGCCUUGCUUAGUGUUGGGAUUCUACCUUUACCGGUAGUUCCUUAAAUACAGUUGGCGGAGUGCAGUUAGGCUCUGAGCGCAGUAAUUUUAUUCCUCGCUUUAGACGUCUGCUAUACUACGGCCACAAACCUAAUUGAAUUCUUCAAUGGUUGACCUCGGAUCAGGUAGGGAUACCCGCUGAACUUAAGCAUAUCAAUAAGCGGAGGA
rnacentral:misc_RNA from 1 species